rnacentral:tRNA from 1 species
ACUUAAAUAAUUUAAUAUAAAAUAUUGAUUUGUGGAGUCAAAAAUAUGAAUUAUUCAUUUUAGGUU